UACGGGGGGGGCAAGCGUUGUUCGGAAUUACUGGGCGUAAAGGGCUCGUAGGCGGCCAACUAAGUCAGACGUGAAAUCCCUCGGCUUAACCGGGGAACUGCGUCUGAUACUGGAUGGCUUGAGUUUGGGAGAGGGAUGCGGAAUUCCAGGUGUAGCGGUGAAAUGCGUAGAUAUCGGGAGGAACAUCUGUGGCGAAGGCGACACCCUGGACCAGCACUGACACUGAGGCACGAAAGCGUGGGGAGCAAACAGG
rnacentral:rRNA from 1 species